UACGAAGGGGGCUAGCGUUGUUCGGAAUUACUGGGCGUAAAGCGCGUGUAGGCGGGUCCUUAAGUCAGGGGGGAAAUGCCAAGGCUCAACCUUGGAACUGCCUUUGAUACUGGGGAUCUUGAGUCCGGGAGAGGUGAGUGGAACUGCGAGUGUAGAGGUGAAAUUCGUAGAUAUUCGCAAGAACACCAGUGGCGAAGGCGGCUCACUGGCCCGGAACUGACGCUGAGACGCGAAAGCGUGGGGAGCAAACAGG
rnacentral:rRNA from 1 species